GGGGGCAACCCUGGCGACGAGCGGCGGACGGGUGAGUAACGCUUAGGAAUCUUCCCAGUAGUGGGGAACAACCCGGGGAAACUCGGGCUAAUACCGCAUACGUCCAUCUUCGAAAGAGGAUGGAGAAAGCGGGGGACCGCAAGGCCUCGCGCUAUUGGAUGAGCCUAAGUCGGAUUAGCUAGUUGGUAGGGUAACGGCCUACCAAGGCGACGAUCCGUAGCUGGUCUGAGAGGACGACCAGCCACACUGGGACUGAGACACGGCCCAGACUCCUACGGGAGGCAGCAGUGGGGAAUAUUGGACAAUGGGGGCAACCCUGAUCCAGCGACGCCGCGUGUGUGAAGAAGGCCUGCGGGUUGUAAAGCACUUUUAGUGGGGAUGAAAAGCACCAGGCUAAUACCCGGGUGUCUUGACCUAACCCAAAGAAAAAGCACCGGCUAACUCUGUGCCAGCAGCCGCGGUAAUACAGAGGGUGCGAGCGUUAAUCGGAAUUACUGGGCGUAAAGCGCACGUAGACGGUUCUGUAAGUCGGAUGUGAAAGCCCCGGGCUUAACCUGGGAACGGCAUUCGAGACUGCAUUACUGGAGUAUGGGAGAGGGCAGUGGAAUUUCCGGUGUAGCGGUGAAAUGCGUAGAUAUCGGAAGGAACAUCAGUGGCGAAAGCGACUGCCUGGCCCAAUACUGACGUUCAUGUGCGAAAGCGUGGGGAGCAAACAGGAUUAGAUACCCUGGUAGUCCACGCCAUAAACGAUGAGAACUAGAUGUCGAGAGGGUUAGCCUCACGGUGUCGCAGCUAACGCGUUAAGUUCUCCGCCUGGGGAGUACGGCCGCAAGGUUGAAGCUCAAAGGAAUUGACGGGGACCCGCACAAGCGGUGGAGCAUGUGGUUCAAUUCGAUGCAACGCGAAGAACCUUACCUGGCCUUGACAUCCUCGGAAC
rnacentral:rRNA from 1 species